rnacentral:rRNA from 2 species
GCCCUAGUAACGGCGAGUGAAGCGGCAACAGCUCAAAUUUGAAAUCUGGCCCUCGGGUCCGAGUUGUAAUUUGUAGAGGAUGCUUUUGGCGCGGUGCCUUCCGAGUUCCCUGGAACGGGACGCCUUAGAGGGUGAGAGCCCCGUACGGUUGGACACCAAGCCUCUGUAAAGCUCCUUCGACGAGUCGAGUAGUUUGGGAAUGCUGCUCUAAAUGGGAGGUAAAUUUCUUCUAAAGCUAAAUAUUGGCCAGAGACCGAUAGCGCACAAGUAGAGUGAUCGAAAGAUGAAAAGCACUUUGAAAAGAGGGUUAAAUAGCACGUGAAAUUGUUGAAAGGGAAGCGUUUGCGACCAGACCUUUUCCCAGCGGAUCAUCCGGUGUUCUCACCGGUGCACUUCGCUGGGUUUAGGCCAGCAUCGGUUUCCGUAGGGGGAUAAAAGCCCUGGGAACGUAGCUCCCUCGGGAGUGUUAUAGCCCUCUGCAUAAUACCCUUACAGGGACCGAGGACCGCGCUUCGGCAAGGAUGCUGGCGUAAUGGUCGUCAACGAC